AUAUGUGGUGAUAUCCAUGGGCGAUACUAUGAUUUGCUUCGACUUUUUGAGUACGGUGGUUUCCCGCCAGAAAGCAACUACCUGUUUCUUGGGGACUACGUGGACGGGGGAAGCAGUCAUUAGAGACUAUCUGCCUCUUACUGGCCUACAAAAUCAAAUAUCCUGAGAAUUUUUUUCUUCUCAGAGGGGAACCAUGAAUGUGCCAGCAUCAAUAGGAUUUAUGGAUUUUAUGAUGAAUGUAAAAGAAGAUACAACAUUAAACUAUGGAAAACUUUCACAGACUGUUUCAACUGCUUGCCGAUAGCAGCCAUCGUGGAUGAAAAAAUAUUCUGCUGUCAUGGAGGUUUAUCACCAGAUCUUCAAUCUAUGGAGCAGAUCCGGCGAAUUAUGCGACCAACUGAUGUGCCAGAUCAAGGUCUUCUUUGUGAUCUUUUGUGGUCUGACCCCGAUAAAGAUGUCUUAGGCUGCGGUGAAAAUGACAGAGGAGUGUCCUUCACAUUUGGUGCAGAAGUGGUUGCAAAAUUUUUACAAGAGAAUGAAAUCAGAGGACUGUGCUUAAAGUCUC